rnacentral:rRNA from 1 species
GAAAGUGGAGGAUCUUCGGACUUCACGCUAUUGGAUGAGCCUAAGUCGGAUUAGCUUGUUGGUAGGGUAAUGGCCUACCAAGGCGACGAUCCGUAGCUGGUCUGAGAGGACGAUCAGCCACACUGGGACUGAGACACGGCCCAGACUCCUACGGGAGGCAGCAGUGGGGAAUAUUGGACAAUGGGGGCAACCCUGAUCCAGCAAUGCCGCGUGUGUGAAGAAGGCCUGCGGGUUGUAAAGCACUUUCAGUAGAGAAGAAAAGCUUACGGUUAAUACCCGUGAGUCUUGACGUAACCUACAGAAGAAGCUCCGGCUAACUCCGUGCCAGCAGCCGCGGUAAUACGGAGGGAGCGAGCGUUAAUCGGAAUUACUGGGCGUAAAGCGCGCGUAGGCGGCUUUGUAAGUCGGAUGUGAAAGCCCUGGGCUCANCCUGGGAAUGGCAUUCGAUACUGCAUGGCUAGAGUAUGGU